rnacentral:misc_RNA from 1 species
GAUGAAGAACGCAGCGAAAUGCGAUAAGUAAUGCGAAUUGCAGAAUUUCCGUGAGUCAUCGAAUCUUUGAACGCACAUUGCGCCCCAUGGUAUUCCGUGGGGCAUGCCUGUUCGAGCGUCAUUUACCCCCUCAAGCUCCGCUUGGUGUUGGGCGUCUGUCCCGCUUCGCGCGCGGACUCGCCCCAAAGGUAUUGGCAGCGGUCGUGCCAGCUUCUCGCGCAGCACAUUGCGCUUCUCGAGGCACCGGUGGGCCCGCGUCCAUCAAGCUCACCCCCCCAGUUUGACCUCGGAUCAGGUAGGGAUACCCGCUGAACUUAAGCAUAUCAAUAAGCGGAGGA